CAGAGGGAGCGCGACUCACUCACACACACACAAACACGCCGCUGUUUCCGGCGGAAGUGCCGCAGACUGACAGUUACUGUCGUUAUUUGAACACAACAGACGCGCUAAAAACAAACAACAGAUAAAAAGACAUGCUAAAAUCAUUAUGAGAGUGUUUAAUUAACGCAGAGAGAUGAGAUGGCUUCAAAAUCAGAGCAGCUGCUGAUUGUUGUUUCUAUUCUCGAAGGCCGUCAGUUUCCCAGAAGUCCGCGGCACACGCUGGUAGUCGAGGCUCGCUUUGACGGAGAGACUUUGGCCACAGACCCCGUAGAACACAAAGAACAGCCGCAGUUCUGCACUGAACUGGCCUGGGAGCUCGACCGCAAGACACUGCACCAGCACCGACUCCAGAGGACGCCCAUCAAACUACAGUGUUACGCCGUCGACUCCGGCACGUCUGCGAGAGAGUGUGUGGGAUAUAUCGUCCUUGAUCUGAGAUCAGUGCAAGAGAUCAAACAGGAUCCUAAAUGGCAUUCUCUGCUCAGUAGUAAGUACACAAAACUGAAACCCGCUCUUCUGAUCAGCCUGAUCUUAGAGAGCGACACCAAACCAACAGCUGAGCAGUUCAAAGCAAAGAAAGCCCCGCCGAGACCAGGUUCUCCAGCGCUGGUUCCUCUGGACUCUGGUAAACUCAAAGCGGUUCUGAACGAGGAAGAAGGUUUUCAUCAGAUCGGACCUGAAGAUGUCUGCUCCGACAUGUUUGUGCUGUCGGUAACGGUUGCGUUUGCUACUAAACUGGAGCAGUUGAUCUCCAGCUCGACUAAGCUGUCCAGCGAGGGCACAGAGUUCUUCUUCUAUUACACUCUAUUGGGGAACGACGUCACCAGCGAACCUUUCCAGAACCUCCUCAGUCCAAACUUUGAGCCUGAGCGAGCGUCCAUCCGCAUCCGCAGCAGUGAGCGAGUCCUGCGGCUCUUCCUCGGCCAGCAGCCCUUCCUGCAGAUCCAUCUCUGCUGUGGAAGCCAGUCUCUCGGCAGCACUGACGUCAGUCUGGCUGGGUUAAUAAAGAGCAGCGCAGACCUCACUAAACAUCCUGUCACUAUAGAGGGCGCUUUCCUCCUGCAGCCCCCCAACCGAGUGAAGCCCAGCCUGGAGUCUGUCCCUCCGGACCUGCAGCCGACCGUCGGCGUAUCUGUGACACUGAGAGCCGAAGAUAUCAACAAUCAGCUAGACAUACCCAUUGAAAAUGGACCUAAAACUCCAGUGAAGAAAGGUCCUGUGCCUGCCGCCCGUCAUCAACGUCCCUCAGAGGAGCCCAGAGCCUUGAUGACCCCUUCACCGGCCAGGAGAUCACCAGACCGGCCUCUCCGAUCUCCAGCCUCUUCUCCUGAACACCAGCACUCUGAGAGCGAGGCCGAGAGUCUGUGCAGUGACGACAGACAGGCUCCGCCCACAGUGCAUGACAGACAGGCUCCGCCCACAGCGCAUGACGCACAUGUUGUCCCAGAUGUGACUAAAGCUGAUGCCGCAGACUCGUCCAUCUCUGUUUCUGCUCCGAAGAUCUCCAUCCCUGCGUCUGCACAUCACUACUGCUUCUCUCUGGACCUGCGCAGCAUCCGAGACCUCAGGACCAGCUUCCCCAUCAACUGCGUCCUCAGAUAUGCUUACCAGUUCUUCGGCAGCGCGGCUCCCAUCAUGACCAGUCCAGCGGUGGAGGUGAAGAAGAGCACGGAGGUGUUUCUGCCGCAGUCGUACUGCGCCUUUGAUUUCGCUGCUUUACCCAAUCAGCUUCAGGACACAUUCCUCAGGGUUCCUCUGGUGGUGGAGAUGUGGCACCGAGAGCCGAGCUCUGGAGAUGUUCUGCUGGGUUCUGUCAGCAUUCAUCUGUCUCGUCUGCUCAGCUCCGAGAAAACACGCUUCCUCGAUCCGUCCGGCCAGCAGCACUGGAGACAGAGCUGUUCCGAGAGGAUUCCCAUCAUCAAAGCAGACGGGUCGGAGAAGUUGGCUGAACUCUGUUAUGUGAGCGUUCUUGAAGAUCUGGGGUUUGUGAAAGCUCAAGACAUCCUCGUCUCUGAAGCGUCUCAGGGGCCGGCGGCGGCUCUGGCUCCUCCUCCUCAGGGCCCCGGCGGGGAAGAGACUGUCACUCGACCUCGAGAGACCCUGGAGUACAAGGCAGCGCUGGAGCUGGAGAUGUGGAAGGAGAUGCAGGAGGAUCUGUUCGAUAAUCAGCUGAAGCAGAAGGAGUUGAGUCACAUGCAGGCGCUGGCGGAGGAGUGGAGGAGGAGAGAUCACCAGCGGGAGGCGCUCAUCAAGAAGAAGGAGAUGGAGUAUAAUCUCCUGGAGGAGCAGCUGCAGAAGACUCUGUCUGACCUGGAGAAGAGGGAGAAAGCUCUCGCUCACGCUGAGACGGAGACGCAGAGGCUGCAGCGAGAGCUGCGCGCCGAGCACGAGUUCAGCCUGCGGGAGCUACAGGACGGAGGCAGGCGUCUGCGCGAGGACUGCGCUCACCAGGUGGAGCUGGAGAGGUCAAAGGUCAGGCAGAUCGAGGAUCUACUGGCUCAGCAGCGACAGCAGAUACAAGAGGCUGAGAACAAAUACAAGCAGCUGGAGAAGGAGUUCCAGCAGUACCGGGAUCAGCAGAACGUCCGGCCCGAGGUCCGUCUGCAGUCAGAGAUCAACCUGCUGACCCUCGAGAAGGUGGAACUGGAGCGUAAACUGGAGUCAGCAACUAAAUCUAAACUACAUUACAAGCAGCAGUGGGGACGAGCGCUGAAGGAGCUGGCCAGAUUUAAACAGCGCGAGCAGGAGAACGCCAUGACACGCCUGAAGAAGCAGCAGCAGGAGCUGGAGCACAUGAGGUUACGCUACCUGGCCGCUGAAGAGAAGGAAGCCGUCAAGAACGAGAAACAUGAGCUCCAGGACAUCCGUAACGAGCUGAACAGGCUGAAGCAGCAGGAGGACAGGCAGAGCGAGUGUGUAAACGAGAGCGCAGACGAACACGUGACGCGUCUGCUGGAGGAGAGAGACACACUGCUGCGCACCGGCGUCUACACACACAGCGACAGGAUCAUCUCUGAGCUCGACCGACAGAUCCAGCAGGCCAUGAGCCGCAGGAGCACCUGACAUCAGACUCGGAGCGCCUGAUCCUCUUCCUUCAGGGUUUGCACAGUUAGAUAAUGCAUCUUUCUGUCGAGCUGACCUCGAGCUCCGGGUCUGGUGUUGAGGAAUACUGUAGAUGUCAGUGUUUGAGCUGAUGAACGGAUGAAUGAAGCGGUCUUUAUCUGAUAGUGAUGCUCUCCAGCAGACACGGUUUACACGCUUCCAUCCAUCAACCUCAACAGCUGACUGCUCUAAGUGUUCUUCACCUUCUUAUAUAAUAGAGUAUAUACUUGUUUUUUUCUCUGAAGAAAACUCUGAAAGCAGGAGAGCUCUCCUUUAAAAAAUACAAGAUAUUUUUCCAGCUCAGGUCCAAAGUAGAAUUAAUGUGAAUUAAUGACUGAAUAAAUUCUGAUGUCAUUCUGUUUGUCUUGUAAAAUUUUGCAUCAAACCUUUUUAGUCUGGCUUUCCUGUAAUGUCGU